rnacentral:rRNA from 1 species
CACGUAGGGGACGAGCGUUGUCCGGAUUCAUUGGGCGUAAAGGGCGCGUAGGCGGCUUAACAAGUCACUUGUGAAAUCUCCGGGCUUAACUCGGAACGGCCAAGUGAAACUGUCAAGCUAGAGUGCAGAAGGGGCAAUCGGAAUUCUCGGUGUAGCGGUGAAAUGCGUAGAUAUCGAGAGGAACACCAGAGGUGAAGACGGGUUGCUGGGCCGACACUGACGCUGAGGCGCGAAAGCCAGGGGAGCAAACGGG